rnacentral:rRNA from 1 species
ACGCUGGCGGCACGCCUAACACAUGCAAGUCGAACGAAGUAGCAAUACUUAGUGGCAGACGGGUGAGUAACAUGUAGGUAUCUGCCCUUUGGCCUGGAAUAACACGAGGAAACUUGUGCUAAUACCGGAUAAGUCUUUACGGAGAAAGCUUUAUGCACCAUUGGAUGAGCCUGCACUUGAUUAGUUUGUUGGUGGGGUAAUGGCCUACCAAGACUGUGAUCAAUAGCUGAUUUGAGAGGAUGAUCAGCCACAUUGGGACUGAGACACGGCCCAAACUCCUACGGGAGGCAGCAGUGGGGAAUCUUGCACAAUGGAGGAAACUCUGAUGCAGCGAUGCCGCGUGAGUGAAGAAGGCCCUUGGGUUGUAAAGCUCUUUCGUCGGGGAAGAAAAUGACUGUACCCGAAUAAGAAGGUCCGGCUAACUUCGUGCCAGCAGCCGCGGUAAUACGAAGGGACCUAGCGUAGUUCGGAAUUACUGGGCUUAAAGAGUUCGUAGGUGGUUGAAAAAGUUAGUGGUGAAAUCCCAGAGCUUAACUCUGGAACUGCCAUUAAAACUUUUCAGCUAGAGUAUGAUAGAGGAAAGCAGAAUUUCUAGUGUAGAGGUGAAAUUCGUAGAUAUUAGAAAGAAUACCAAUUGCGAAGGCAGCUUUCUGGAUCAUUACUGACACUGAGGAACGAAAGCAUGGGUAGCGAAGAGGAUUAGAUACCCUCGUAGUCCAUGCCGUAAACGAUGUGUGUUAGACGUUGGAAAUUUAUUUUCAGUGUCGCAGCGAAAGCGAUAAACACACCGCCUGGGGAGUACGACCGCAAGGUUAAAACUCAAAUGAAUUGACGGGGACCCGCACAAGUAGUGGAGCAUGUGGUUUAAUUCGAAGAUACGCGCAGAACCUUACCAACACUUGACAUGUUCGUCGCGACUCUAAGAGAUUAGAGUUUUCGGUUCGGCCGGACGAAACACAGGUGCUGCAUGGCUGUCGUCAGCUCGUGUCGUGAGAUGUUGGGUUAAGUCCCGCAACGAGCGCAACCCUCACUUUUAGUUGCCAUCAUUAAGUUGGGCACUCUGAAAGAACUGCCAGUGAUAAGCUGGAGGAAGGUGGGGAUGACGUCAAGUCCUCAUGGCCCUUACGUGUUGGGCUACACACGUGCUACAAUGGUAUCUACAACAGGAAGCAAGACUGCGAAGUUAAGCAAAUCCCUAAAAGAUACCUCAGUUCGGAUUGCACUCUGCAACUCGAGUGCAUGAAGCUGGAAUUACUAGUAAUCGUGGAUCAGCGUGCCACGGUGAAUGCGUUCCCGGGUCUUGUACACACCGCCCGUC